CUUAAACUAGCAAAACAAGUCUUUUGUUAUACCCUCUGGUUCUGGUUCUUAAUUCUUUCAUAGAUUGGCGCAAUUAUGUGUAAUUAAUCACAAUAGUUAACAGGACAGAACCGGACAUUCAUCAUAUAUACCAUGUUUUACUCAAGAUCAGUUAAAGAUACUCUCCAGAUUGGCAUCUAUCACCAUUUUAAUUCCACAGAUAGCUCCUGGUGCUGCCCUAUGAUUGCUAACUUUGUUCUUAAAUGUAUUUAUU